UUCCUUUUUGCCUCCUUGCCCACUUUUUUGAAUGUGACUGUCGGUAACUGUGGUCCCAUGCCUGCUUCAACAUUAUAUUUUGGAAGCAGAGGGCCUGUUUCUUGAGUUUCACAGACUCAUCUGGAGAGCGACUUUGCAACUUUGGCCCAGAGUGGAUCAUACCGAGAGCCUCAUGCAGACCUGAUUGAGAGGAUGAGAUUUGGGACUUUUGGACUGAGAGACCCAUUCUGAUCAGUGAUUCCCAGAUGCGAGCUGCAGACUUGAGUCUACACCCAGUCAUGGGGGGGGGCUUCAACCACCACCUCUUCGGCCAAGUAACUGGCAUGUUCCAUGCAUAGCUCCCUGUUACUCUUCACGUAUUUGCUUGGGCACAUCGGACAUUCCCUGUACUGCUGUGCCAGGUGCUAAGAACGUGAAGAUGAAUAAGCCACAGACUUCUGGAAGGGACAGACAUGCACCUUUUGACCCAUGAUGAGAUGUGUUAAGCGCAGCAACUACGGUUCAAGAUUGCUCAGAGGAGGAUCGCCGUGGGAGGCACAGGGAAACAUCUACCAUGAGGUCAUUAACAGGAAAAGGACUUCAAACACAAAGAGCAAGUAUAAAGGCAUUCGAAUAAAAAGCAUUUUGUAACAAAGGAUAAAAAGAUGAAGAGCCGUGGAGUUCACAGGCGUGUUUGUGGACGGGUCUGUGAAGGCGGCGGGCAGCGACGACAAUGAUGUUCCACAAGUGGCCAGUGCGUGGCCAGGUCGUGGAGGACAAGGAGCAGGACAGGGGGGCUGGGCUUUGGCAGGACUCGUGAAGACACCGCCUCUUGUUGCCUCGAGAGGUGAGGGGUGCUGAGAUGGGGGCAGGUCCUGUGUGCGAGAAGCUGGGACGCAGGGAGACCAGAGGGAGCCCGUGGGUUUCAUGAGUAUCAACAAGUGGCCAGUGGAGUCUUUGGCUGGAAAGCAAGGGACACAUUUCACCAACACUGAGAAAGAAGUGUCUGCGGUUUUGAGGCCCCUAAGUGACUUGGCUGGUUGAGCAUCUGACUCUUGAUUUUGGCUCAGGUCAUGAUCUCAGGGUUGUGGGAUCAAGCCCUGAGU